rnacentral:piRNA from 1 species
UGUUAGUGACCUCUCACCUCUAGGGC